GGGACAUUGGUCUAGUGGUAUGAUUCUCGCUUAGGGUGCGAGAGGUCCCGUGUUCAAUUCACGGAUGUCCCC